rnacentral:rRNA from 1 species
CACUUAGCACGAAAGCGUGGGAGCAAAUAGGAUUAGAUACCCUAGUAGUCCACGCCGUAAACGAUGAGAACUAGGUGUUGGGGGAAUAACUCAGUGCCGCAGUUAACGCAGUAAGUUCUCCGCCUGGGGAGUAUGCACGCAAGUGUGAAACUCAAAGGAAUUGACGGGGGCCCGCACAAGCGGUGGAGUAUGUGGUUUAAUUCGAAGCAACGCGAAGAACCUUACCAGGCCUUGACAUCCCUUGCAGAGGUAUAGAGAUAUAUCCGAGGUUAUCAAGGAGACAGGUGGUGCGUGGUUGUCGUCAGCUCGUGUCGUGAGAUGUUGGGUUAAGUCCCGCAACGAGCGCAACCCUUGUGAUAUGUUACUAACAUUGAGUUGAGGACUCAUAUCAGACUGCCGGUGACAAACCGGAGGAAGGUGGGGAUGACGUCAAAUCAUCAUGCCCCUUAUGGCCUGGGCUACACACGUACUACAAUGGCGUCUACAAAGAGCGGCAAGCCUGUGAAGGCAAGCGAAUCUCAUAAAGGACGUCUCAGUUCGGAUUGAAGUCUGCAACCCGACUUCAUGAAGCUGGAAUCGCUAGUAAUCGCGAAUCAGCAUGUCGCGGUGAAUACGUUCUCGGGCCUUGUACACACCGCCCGUCAAACCAUGGGAGUUGGUAAUGCCCGAAGCCGGUGGCAUAACCCUUCGGGGAGUGAGCCGUCGAAGGCAGGACCGAUGACUGGGGUUAAGUCGUAACAAGGUAACC